rnacentral:sRNA from 1 species
AAAUGAUACAAUCUGUUAUAUAUUACUGUAAAUACAAUUUUGCCAACACAUGCAUCAUUCUUUAGUUUAGAGGGGUUUGAAUUUGUCCAUAAGAAAUACCCAGUAACAUUUGUACAUCAUCCUCCAUGUACAAUUAUUGUUAAGUUUCAGCAAGUUGUUGUGUAGUUUUUAGUGAUUGCAGACUGCCAUUGUCUAUGAUUGGUUUGAUAUGAAAGGAAUGCAGCCCAUUUUUAUUUCAUUGAUACAAGAAUGCAGCGAGAUGAAAAUUGUUUGAUUUUGAUCGCUUUUCAUGGAUGAUUGAGUGAAUUCUGUGAUAAGUUGUUAUUUCAUGUGAAAAUAUUGAAUUAAAAAAAUAUAAU